GAUGAACGCUGGCGGCGUGCCUAAUACAUGCAAGUCGAGCGAACAGACGAGGAGCUUGCUCCUUUGACGUUAGCGGCGGACGGGUGAGUAACACGUGGGUAACCUACCUAUAAGACUGGGAUAACUUCGGGAAACCGGAGCUAAUACCGGAUAAUAUUUCGAACCGCAUGGUUCGAUAGUGAAAGAUGGCUUUGCUAUCACUUAUAGAUGGACCUGCGCCGUAUUAGCUAGUUGGUAAGGUAACGGCUUACCAAGGCAACGAUACGUAGCCGACCUGAGAGGGUGAUCGGCCACACUGGAACUGAGACACGGUCCAGACUCCUACGGGAGGCAGCAGUAGGGAAUCUUCCGCAAGGGGCGAAAGCCUGACGGAGCAACGCCGCGUGAGUGAUGAAGGUCUUCGGAUCGUAAAACUCUGUUAUUAGGGAAGAACAAACGUGUAAGUAACUGUGCACGUCUUGACGGUACCUAAUCAGAAAGCCACGGCUAACUACGU
rnacentral:rRNA from 1 species